rnacentral:rRNA from 1 species
UACGAAGGGGGCGAGCGUUGUUCGGAAUUACUGGGCGUAAAGCGUGCGCAGGCGGUUCGCUAAGACCGAUGUGAAAUCCCCGGGCUUAACCUGGGAACUGCAUUGGUGACUGGCGGGCUAGAGUAUGGCAGAGGGGGGUAGAAUUCCACGUGUAGCAGUGAAAUGCGUAGAGAUGUGGAGGAACACCGAUGGCGAAGGCAGCCCCCUGGGUCAAGAUUGACGCUCAUGCACGAAAGCGUGGGGAGCAAACAGG